rnacentral:lncRNA from 1 species
AACCCAUAAUAAACGGAGUUUUUCUUUUUUGCUUCCAGUGCUUUUUUUCCUGAAAGGACUAAACCUUGCCUGGUACGUUGUACUUGCUAUCUGAUCAAAGCCAAUGAAGAACCUCAAGACAGAAUGCAAUGGAACAAUAAAUGAACCAGGGAAACACAGGGGUCAAAAGUCAUCCGCCAGCAAAAGGAUUUGUAUCAAGGAGAGAUCUUCACUGCUGGGUACUGAAGAUGUGCCUUAACCCUCUACAAAAUACUUAACCAGUUGCUGGGAAUAACUCUCCAGUCAGAGCGUAGAAGUUUGGACACGGUGCUGUACUAACGUGCUUGUACUUCUGCUGGACUGGAACUGGCCUCCUGCCAGUUUGGAG